GACGAACGCUGGCGGCGUGCUUAACACAUGCAAGUCGAGCGGUAAGGCCCUUUCGGGGGUACACGAGCGGCGAACGGGUGAGUAACACGUGGGUGACCUGCCCUCAGCUCUGGGAUAAGCCUGGGAAACUGGGUCUAAUACUGGAUAUGACUCCACGGUGCAUGUCGUGGGGUGGAAAGCCUUGUGCGGCUGAGGAUGGGCCCGCGGCCUAUCAGCUUGUUGGUGGGGUGANGGCCUACCAAGGCGACGACGGGUAGCCGGCCUGAGAGGGCGACCGGCCACACUGGGACUGAGACACGGCCCAGACUCCUACGGGAGGCAGCAGUGGGGAAUCUUGCGCAAUGGGCGAAAGCCUGACGCAGCGACGCCGCGUGAGGGAUGACGGCCUGGUGUAA
rnacentral:rRNA from 1 species